rnacentral:rRNA from 1 species
GAUCAUGGCUCAGGACGAACGCUGGCGGCGUGCUUAACACAUGCAAGUCGAACGAGAAUCUGUGGAUCGAGGAUUCGUCCAAGUGAAGCAGAGGACAGUGGCGGACGGGUGAGUAACGCGUGAGGAACCUGGCCUUUCAGAGGGGGACAACAGUUGGAAACGACUGCUAAUACCGCAUGAUACGUUUUAGGGGCAUCCCUGAGACGUCAAAGAUUUAUACGCUGAAAGAUGGCCUCG